rnacentral:rRNA from 1 species
UACGGAGGGUGCAAGCGUUGUUCGGAAUUAUUGGGCGUAAAGCGCGCGCAGGCGGCUUGGCAAGUCGGUUGUGAAAUCCCGGGGCCCAACCCCGGAACUGCAGCCGAAACUGCCUCGCUAGAGUCCCGGAGAGGAAGGCAGAAUUCCCGGUGUAGGGGUGAAAUGCGUAGAUAUCGGGAGGAAUACCAGCGGCGAAGGCGGCCUUCUGGACGGUGACUGACGCUGAGACGCGAAAGCGUGGGGAGCAAACAGG